AUUGAACGCUGGCGGCAUGCCUUACACAUGCAAGUCGAACGGCAGCACGGGAGCAAUCCUGGUGGCGAGUGGCGAACGGGUGAGUAAAGUAUCGGAACGUGCCCAGUCGUGGGGGAUAACGUAGCGAAAGUUACGCUAAUACCGCAUACGAUCUAUGGAUGAAAGCGGGGGAUCGCAAGACCUCGCGCGGUUGGAGCGGCCGAGAUCAGAUUAGGUAGUUGGUGGGGUAAAGGCUCACCAAGUUGACGAUCUGGAGCUGGUCUGAGAGGCCGACCAGCCACACUGGGACUGAGACACGGCCCAGACUCCUACGGGAGGCAGCAGUGGGGAAUUUUGGACAAUGGGCGCAAGCCUGAUCCAGCCAUGCCGCGUGCAGGAUGAAGGCCUUCGGGUUGUAAACUGCUUUUGUACGGAACGAAAAGGUUUGGCUUAAUACGUUGAACUCAUGACGGUACCGUAAGAAUAAGCACCGGCUAACUACGUGCCAGCCGCCGCCGUAA
rnacentral:rRNA from 1 species